rnacentral:rRNA from 1 species
CCUACGGGAGGCAGCAGUGGGGAAUAUUGCACAAUGGGGGAAACCCUGAUGCAGCGACGCCGCGUGAGUGAAGCAGUAUUUCGGUAUGUAAAGCUCUAUCAGCAGGGAAGAAAAUGACGGUACCUGAUUAAGAAGCCCCGGCUAACUACGUGCCAGCAGCCGCGGUAAUACGUAGGGGGCAAGCGUUAUCCGGAUUUACUGGGUGUAAAGGGAGCGUAGACGGCAGCACAAGUCUGGAGUGAAAUGCCGGGGCUUAACCCCGGACCUGCUUUGGAAACUGUGCCGCUAGAGUGCAGGAGAGGUAAGUGGAAUUCCUAGUGUAGCGGUGAAAUGCGUAGAUAUUAGGAGGAACACCAGUGGCGAAGGCGGCUUACUGGACUGUAACUGACGUUGAGGCUCGAAAGCGUGGGGAGCGAACAGGAUUAGAUACCCCAGUAGUC